rnacentral:rRNA from 1 species
UAGACCGCCUGGGGAGUACGGCCGCAAGGUUAAAACUCAAAUGAAUUGACGGGGGCCCGCACAAGCGGUGGAGCAUGUGGUUUAAUUCGAUGCAACGCGAAGAACCUUACCUGGUCUUGACAUCCACGGAAGGUCUCAGAGAUGAGACUGUGCCUUCGGGAGCCGUGAGACAGGUGCUGCAUGGCUGUCGUCAGCUCGUGUUGUGAAAUGUUGGGUUAAGUCCCGCAACGAGCGCAACCCUUAUCCUUUGUUGCCAGCGGUUAGGCCGGGAACUCAAAGGAGACUGCCAGUGAUAAACUGGAGGAAGGUGGGGAUGACGUCAAGUCAUCAUGGCCCUUACGACCAGGGCUACACACGUGCUACAAUGGCGCAUACAAAGAGAAGCGACCUCGCGAGAGCAAGCGGACCUCAUAAAGUGCGUCGUAGUCCGGAUUGGAGUCUGCAACUCGACUCCAUGAAGUCGGAAUCGCUAGUAAUCGUGGAUCAGAAUGCCACGGUGAAUACGUUCCCGGGCCUUGUACACACCGCCCGUCACACCAUGGGAGUGGGUUGCAAAAGAAGUAGGUAGCUUAACCUCCGGGAGGGCGCUUACCACUUUGUGAUUCAUGACUGGGGUGAAGUCGUAACAAGGUAACCGUAGGGGAACCUGCGGUUGGAUCACCUCCUUACCUGAAAGAA